rnacentral:rRNA from 1 species
UACGGAGGGCGCAAGCGGUAUCCGGAAUCACUGGGUUUAACGGGUGCGUAGGCGGCUAGAUAAGUCAGAGGUGAAAGGUUGUCACUUAACGAUAGAACUGCCUUUGAUACUGUUGAGCUUGAAACUAGGUGGGGUUGGCGGAAUGUGACUUGUAGCGGUGAAAUGCAUAGAUAUGUCAUAGAACACCGAAUGCGAAGGCAGCUGGCUGGGCCUACUUUUACGCUGAGGCACGAAAGCUUGGGGAGCGUACAGG